GAAAUAUAAAAUUUAGAAUUAAGCUUCUAACUUAAAUUCUUAGCAGUGAAAUUCUGUUAAUAUUUCU
rnacentral:tRNA from 1 species